UCUUCUUCUCUUGCCUUUUCUCUUUUUCUUUCCUUUCCUUCCUUUUCCUCUUUUCCUUCGAUUCUUUCUUUCUUAACCUUAACGACCAAAUCCCAUUUCUCUCCUCUUUCACGAGGCUAAGGUUAAAUAUAAGCAUGGAUGGAACAAGUCACUCACCUCACGAGUGCAUUUCAGCGUGAUGCGGCAAUGCGGCUGGACGGCGUUUUCUAAAAUUACAUGAAAAAGAAGAAUUAAUCGAAGAAAGAUUCAAAGGACGAUCAUAUACUUUGCCUUCCAAUCGACAAUCGACUAACGUUCUACUUUCAGCCGUUUUUGAUAGCGCAUGAAACACGCUAAAAAAGGGAAUAUUUACAUAUCGAAAAGGGCGAAUAACUUCUUACCCAAACUAUCGUCUGAUGCGAAAGAUGCUAUUGGAACUCGAGCGAAAAAUUUUCUUUUAAAGAUUCGUAAUAUAAAUACAUAGGUCUUGAUUAUCUCGAAACGAGCGAGACGGGUGAAAUGAUCCAGUUGUCGAUUCGCGACGAUACAUGAUCAUCGAGGGAGACCUUGCAGUAAUGUGCUUACGCGUCGCGGGGAGAGAAACCCCGCGCCAAUAAUCCGUAACAUUAUAUAACUGUUGGUAAUGCUCCAUUCGCGCGUGAAACGAAUCGCGUAGUAACUAAGUACUACGCCUGUAUACAAUAAAUAUUGCUUGUGCUGUUACUUGUUGUACAUUGCACAUUGUACAAGAAUAUCUAAAGUUUCGAAUCUCACCAUUCUGUUUAAAAACAUACUCAGAUACAUUUAUGCGUUUGCGAUCUUUACGUAGCUGUUCCAAUGCUUUCUAAAAAUCCACGCCUUAAUACAUGGGCUAUUAUCGUAUAAACGAACUGUUAUGCUUCACUAGGUAUAUGCUAAUGAAAAAUACAUGAAACUAUGGAAAAUCGAAGAUAAAAUAAUUUACAUCGUGCUGUUUGUUAAAAAGUAUUGCACUGUCGUGAAUUGAAUGUAUCAGAACAGCAUGGUAAUGAAGAAGAUUUACAGAAUUGAUACAGAUCGUAUUAGCUAGGUUAUAACCUACUUCACAUGCAUGAACGACAGCACGAUUUUCUUUCUGCUAUUUUGGGAAUUUUCUUAUCCAAGGAUAAGAUAACUACUUAAAUAUUGUCUCAACGUUCAACAAAUUUCGUAAAGUAAAUGAUAGUUUUUCUGCUAUGCUUUACACUGGACUGCAUAAAACUUCAUCAAGGCAAUGUAUUUGAUAACGAACAUAUUUUGUGGCAGAAAACCAGAAAGAGAAAUAUUUUCUUUUUUUGUGAAGCGCGCGAAAGCGUGACUAUGCACGAUGAAGCUUUCUCUCUCUCUUUGUUGUAUGCUUUGCCAUAAGCUUUCACGGUCUCGCGACACCAGUGCUUAGUUCCAGUAUGAACGCGAGAACGCGUCCAAGUCCAAACUCAUCGUAUCGUACGAAGUAUAUACGUACAUACGGCAAGCAAAGAGGAAGACGUUCAGAGCGUGCACUAUGCACUACAACGGUUAGGCACACACACACGUACACACGCACGCGCAUUUCUGCGUAUGCAAUAUAGUGAAUAAGGAAUAAGGAAUAAGGAAUACAUAUUAUUAAGUAGAAAAUUCAAUCCUUUAUUAUUGUAAAAAAUGAACAAGACAUAAUAAAAAGAUACGCUCGAAAUUAUAUAUAUAUUGUAAAGUAUUUUUUUCGUUUUCUUAUGCAAAGAAAAUCGUGCUGUUUUAGAAUGAACCAAUGCAUGAAGAACAACAUGGAUAGGCUAUUUUUGGGCUUAUGUUUAUACCGAUAUAAAAUGAAUAAGACAAGAUAGAAACUUCUCUAACAAGUCAAGGAAGGGUACUUAUGAAACAUUGAAUUAAUGGAAAUCGCAAUAAAAAUGUGAUACGCAGAUCGAAAACGAUAUGUAUUAAACAGGAAUCAAUCGUACCAUAAAAUAAUGUUUAAAAGUUAAGAAUUGUAACUCCAUAACUAAAAAAGCGCGUGCGAUAACUAGUAUUCAGUAUAAUAUAUAGGCAUUUCUUAAAAAAUGGAAAAAUUCUAUUUUCACGUGGCAUCUCUUUCUGUUAUUUAUUAAUUUCAUUCACAUUAACUUGAUUUUGGUGGCUAUUUAGCGAUAGACACACAGCUACUAGUGUAUGUCAAGUUUGCAAGAGUAAACAAACUGAGAACUGUCAUUCGAUCGAUGUAACAGCUGUGAGACAGAUGGAAGAUUCGGAUAGAAAUGAUUGGUUGUGUUUCUUCGGUAUUAUUUGCAAAGAAAAAAUACAUUCUCAGCGAGAAUGAAAAAAAACAAAAGGGAAAGGAUAAGAAUCAGUGAUGGCAGUACUCACCGAAGUAAAAGAGAAAGUGUUUUAUUGUUGGCGCAUUCGAGGAUUUUCUUCUUUUCCCAACCUUCAACAGUUUUUACCCAUUCUUCGCCAGGACUGCGCCAAUCCUUCGAUAUGAAUGGCAUCGUUCGCAAGAUAUAUAAUUGUACGAUAUGCUUGCUCUGCUUACGUGUGCAAACCACGAGCGAUCCUUCGACUAACGAUCAAAUAUAUUAAGGAACGCACCUCACUGGACCACGGACGCUCAAUGUUUGCUCACAAGACAGUUCGGUCUGCUCGGUUUACUUCGCGGCUGCGAUCGACCGCGCAUGGCUUUGUUUUACUGACGUCACUUAGGUAUCAGCUGUGCAACUGACAUGACAAACCAGUGCACUCCGAACAACUCUGAAUCACACGUUCGGCCAUUUUAAAAUGUAUAUGUUACGCAUGCGCAAUUUUGUCUUGAAGAAGCUCGACAUUCACACGUUAUUUAUUUCGAUUUGUCAUCUCGUUCGAUUUAUUUUCUUUCUCCCGGUUACUUUUAUUAGUUACAAGGAAUAUAUCGAUUGGUUAUUUUUUGUUAGCUAUUUGCAAAAGUGAAAUCUUACAAACAUGUGUCAUAACCAAUAUGUUUUUAUUAUAUAAAGAAAAUACAUAUGUAUAUACAACUGUA